GACGAACGCUGGCGGCGUGCUUAACACAUGCAAGUCGAACGGAAAGGCCCUUCUUUUGUGGGGUGCUCGGGUGGCGAACGGGUGAGUAACACGAGAGUAACCUGCCCUUGACUUUGGGAUAACUUCAGGAAACUGGGGCUAAUACCGGAUAGGAGCUCCUGCUGCAUGGUGGGGGUUGGAAAGUGUCGGCGGUUGGGGAUGGACUCGCGGCUUAUCAGCUUGUUGGUGGGGUAGUGGCUUACCAAGGCUUUGACGGGUAGCCGGCCUGAGAGGGUGACCGGCCACAUUGGGACUGAGAUACGGCCCAGACUCCUACGGGAGGCAGCAGUGGGGAAUAUUGCACAAUGGGCGGAAGCCUGAUGCAGCAACGCCGCGUGCGGGAUGACGGCCUUCGGGUUGUAAACCGCUUUCGCCUGUGACGAAGCGUGAGUGACGGUAAUGGGUAAAGAAGCACCGGCUAACUACGUG
rnacentral:rRNA from 1 species